AUGUUCAAUAUGGGGGGGGGGGGGCCUUCACGGCUUAUUUUCUUGCUCUCCUACGGGAAACUCGCACCCAGCGUGAAAAACUGUCCCUUCACGGCUUAUCUUCUGGCCAUCCUCCGCCUCGCAGCCGCCCUGCGCAGCUGGGGGGGGGGAAAAGCCACUUGUCAGGAGGCCGCAGCGGGCGGUCGCACGGGCCAGCACCUGCCUCCUGCGCGCGCCGCCUCCCUCCACCCGGAGCAGCACGGCCUGCUGUGCUAUAAUAAUAACAAUAACAAUAAUAAUAAUAAUACCAGGGCAGCCCUGAGACACCGAGGCCUUGUAGCCGGCACCACCUCCGCUUUGACGCGCAGGAUGAGGCAGCCACGAUGCCACCAGACGUGCUUUGUCACCAGAACGUCCGUCUCCUUAGGCGUCAACUGCGCUGAUCGGGAACCCAGCGGCCUCGCGGGCAGAGCGCGGCUCCUGGGGCUCCAGCACGCCAGGCGGCGAGGGACAGGCCACCUCCCCUCUGUCCUCGCCUUCUCUGUGUGAAAGGAGCUAUCUAAAGGACGGAGCUCUCGGAGCGCCGGCAAGUCGAACACCUCACCCAGGAGAGGUUUUCAUGAGUUCUGGCCAUGGUCCGCUACACCACAAGACACCGAGUUCCCCACGUGCGAUCUAGCUGUUAGCACGCAUCCCUCGGGAGCGGGCACGAGCGAGCUGUAUCGUCACCGAGUGCUGCACUUCGGGGAGCGGCGACGGGAAGCAGAGGCCUGAAGCGUGCGGAGUUUUCUUCGUGUUUCACCGAGAACAUCUGCAGGCUGAUACCAUG
rnacentral:lncRNA from 1 species